ACGGAGGAUGCGAGCGUUAUCCGGAUUUAUUGGGUUUAAAGGGAGCGCAGACGGGUUUUUAAGUCAGCUGUAAAAGUUUGGGGCUCAACCUUAAAAUUGCAGUUGAUACUGGAGACCUUGAGUGCAGUUGAGGCAGGCGGAAUUCGUGGUGUAGCGGUGAAAUGCUUAGAUAUCACGAAGAACUCCGAUUGCGAAGGCAGCUUGCUAAAGUGUAACUGACGUUCAUGCUCGAAAGUGUGGGUAUCAAACAGGAUUAGAUACCCUGGUAGUCCACACGGUAAACGAUGGAUACUCGCUGUUGGCGAUAUACGGUCAGCGGCUUAGCGAAAGCGUUAAGUAUCCCACCUGGGGAGUACGCCGGCAACGGUG
rnacentral:rRNA from 1 species